rnacentral:rRNA from 1 species
UGGGGAAUAUUGGACAAUGGGGGCAACCCUGAUCCAGCGAUGCCGCGUGAGUGAAGAAGGCCUUCGGGUCGUAAAGCUCUUUAGGUUGGGAAGAAGUGCAUUCGGUGCAUAGCCGAGUGUGUUGACGGUACCGACAGAAUAAGCACCGGCAAACUCUGUGCCAGCAGCCGCGGUAAUACAGAGGGUGCGAGCGUUAAUCGGAGUUACUGGGCGUAAAGGGCGCGUAGGCGGUAAGAUGUGUGUGAUGUGAAAGCCCCGGGCUUAACCUGGGAAGUGCAUCGCAAACUGUCUUGCUAGAGUAUAUGAGAGGGUGGUGGAAUUUCCGGUGUAGCGGUGAAAUGCGUAGAGAUCGGAAGGAACGUCAAUGGCGAAGGCAGCCACCUGGCAUAAUACUGACGCUGAGGCGCGAAAGCGUGGGGAGCGAACAGGAUUAGAUACCCGCGUAGUCC